AGCUGGAAAGAUGGCCUCGCAUUGUGCGCCCUCAUCCACAGACACAGGCCUGACCUCAUCGAUUACUCUAAACUUAGAAAGGAUGAUCCCAUUGGAAACUUAAACCAGGCCUUUGAAGUCGCUGAAAAAUACCUGGAUAUUCCCAAAAUGUUGGACGCUGAAGACAUUGUUAACACACCAAAGCCGGACGAGAAAGCCAUCAUGACCUACGUCUCAUGUUUCUACCACGCUUUCGCUGGAGCUGAGCAGGCCGAGACUGCAGCCAAUCGGAUUUGCAAAGUGCUCGCAGUGAACCAGGAGAAUGAGAAACUGAUGGAGGAGUACGAAAAACUCGCGAGUGAGGU